UAGAAUGAAAUUCAUUCCGCCUCCAUUCUUUAUCUCCAAUCUCUAAACCAAAAACUCCCCAUCUCCAAUCCUCCCAAGUCCAAAUCGACGGCUAUCUCCUCCAGAUUCCAGAUCGUCGCCUCCGGCCGGUCGCCUCCGCCCUACAGUCGUGCUCCAGUCCGUUGCCUCCGCCCUGCAGCUGUGCUUCAGUCCGCUACUUCCCGUCCCCACUUCGUCGCCUCUCCAUCUGACCAUCCAUCGCCUCCGCCCUUCACCCAUCCACGCCGCCUCCAGGAAGCUAGGUACAAAUUCAGACUUAUGGUUAUGCAUUAAAGGGUGUUUAAUAAUAAAAGUGAAACUGCUGGAGAUGUCCUUGGUAUUUGGAAGUUUGAGCAAGAAAAAGUUACGAAGGCUUUAGAUCUAGAAAGGAACUUGCAGAGAAGUUGAACAGAUAUUGAAGAGUGACCACAAUGAAAUCUCCAUUAGUUAAUCAUGUUGCCUACAUAUUUAUGAAAUUUUAUUUUUGUUGAUGGUGAUGUUGUAGCCUAAAUAUUUAUUUUUGUUGGUUGAGAUGUUAAUCAUGCUAUGGUUUUAUUGUGAAUACUUGGUUUUAA